rnacentral:misc_RNA from 1 species
GCCAAUUUCAACCAAACCUGGCACAAGGCUCCUUAGGUGAAGGGGAUUCAAAGGGCGACACUCUCUCUCAAAGGGAGGUAAUAAAGAAUUAUUAACAAUUUGUUGGUAUGUUUAAAAAAUCUUCUCAAAAACCAUUUGGCCAAAAAACUGUAACUUGUGUGGAAGCAUCCUCAGAUAGUGUAGAUUCUAGAUUGUUUAAAUCAUGAUCCCCGGGGGUACGGUGGGGCCACAAAUGGGGAUCGAAUUUUUACAUAGGAAUAUAUAGAGAAAGUUCUUUAAAAAUCUUCUUCUCAAGAACCAAUUGGCCAGAAAAGCUGUCAUUUGUUUGGAAGCAUCCUCAGGUAGUUUAGAGUCCAGUUGUUUAAAUCAUAAUCCCCGGGGUACAGUGGUGCUACAAUGGAGGAGGGGUGAUUUUUAUGUAAGAAUACAUGUUUAUAGAGAAAAAACUUUUAAAAAUGUUCUUCUCUAGAACCAACUUGACAGAAAAAGCUGUAACAUGCAAUUGUGUGGAAGCACCCUCAAGUAGUGUAUAUUCUAGUUUGUUCAAGUCAUGAUCCUUUGGGUUAAGGUUGGCCCACCAAUGGGGGGGGGGCAAAUUCUUACUUAGAAAUGUAUAGAGAAAUAUCUUCUUUUUGGAAAGGAUGAGACUAUAAUGGGGGGGGGGGGCGAAUUUUUACAUUAGAAAGUGAAUUUAUCAUAUUGACAUUUGUUUAGACUGUGGACCUGGAUAAUUCUUGGGCCACACAAGGGGUUCAAAAUUUGAUAUAGGUUUAUAUUUAUAUGAAAAGUUGUCUAAGAUCAUUUUGAGAAUGGCAAUGGUCAAUAUAUGAUAUAACUAUGAAAUUAUCUAGUUACAAAAGGUGCCCAAUAUAAAAACAUCUGUAGAAAUUUUUGGAAAGAUUUUGAAACAGGAUCAAUUUUACUCAUUCUUUGUCCCAAUAUUUUUGGAUAUGACUUCUUAAGUUGAUUUUAUUAUGGCUAGUGUUGCUGAGGUGAGCGAUGUGGCCCAUGGGCCUCUUGUUUUUGUUUUUGUUUUUUCAUGCAGAAUGCAAAAUUAAU